CCGGCCCCUCACACCACCAGUUAAGGAAGGGAGAACAACACCGGAGAGAUGUCCCAGUCCUCUUCUUCCUCAGGAUGGUUCAGAAGAACAUCACAAUGUCCCACAGGAUGAUCAGGUAGAUGGAGAUAAGGGUAUCAUGAUGGAGGAUCGCUGGCCCCUCACACCACCAGAUGACUGGACCAGGAGCUCAGAGGAACAUCUGGCAUCUUCAGAUGUUAAAGCAGAUGACCAUGGUG